GCCUUUGUGGUGUAAUAGGAAGCACACUCGAGGUAUUCGAGAGGUCCAGGUUCGAGUCCUGGCGAGGGCA